rnacentral:lncRNA from 1 species
GACGAAGCGAAGCGAUGGUCUUAGGAAUCCCAUCCUUUUUGGGCGGUCUCGCUAAGACCGGUUAGUGAAGAGUUUAGUCGGCACGAGUCCGACGUAGUCCCAUUAAACACAAUCCUGGCUCGCACCAAACACGGGAUUAAUAUUCUUAGUAAGCCAGUCCAAUCUAGUGAUACUUAGUGAGUGCAAACAAACACGCCCUUAAUGAAUUUUGGCUAUAAAGUCAUAUUUAUACCUUAAUUCAUUGGAGUGGCAAACUUGUAAAU